CGUUAUCAGUAGCGUUUGUUCAAUGUACCGAUUAAAACCCAUCACACUACAAGCUCGUUGGAGAUUGCUGUGUUGUACGAUAUUUAGAUUACGAAUCGUGUCCCAAACCCAACCGAGGGCAUAAAACGUUGCAUUAAUCCUUCCGCGUUGCACAGUAUCAUUCGUGGGUUGGCAGACAUUGGUAGGUUGAGUGAGCGCCGCUAGCAUGCACAACCAAUAUCCGAGCCACAAUUGGCCACAACGAAGAGGGGUUUAGAGUGAAAAGUACAAUUUAAACAAAACAAAACAAAAACCAUGGAUAAGAACGGAAGGCUAUUACAGUUGAUAAGACUAUCGGAGACAGCAUCAAACAUGAGUUUUAUUUCACUCCCUUUAAUGUCCGAUUGACCUAAUCGUCUUUUUUCGAAUUCCGAGUGUAAUUUGUUGCUGUGUGCAUUUUCAUAUGCUUGGUAAGCUGGAUUACAUCAAAACACGUAAGUAAAGAUCCACCAGUAACAACAAAGCCUCUGAUUGGCGAACGUGUUGCUCGGGAGAAGUGUUCAUUCAUCAGCAUGCAGCGAACACAACUAUAAGCGAGAAUUGCCAACUUCAUCCCUUCACCGAGGGUGGUCUAUUGUGAUCUACCUGCGCACCGAAAGGAACCUUCUGCUGCAUCCUCAUUGGUUUGGACGAAGAGAAAUGUUGCAGAAAAUGUACGCUAAACAGGACGAACGGAAAGCAACCGGUGAUGCUCACAGGCAAAGCAACUGGCUUGCAUGGUUUGGUGCAGCAUUUUUGCUCGAACCGACACACAGCAGCGUUAUGCCUUGCUUGGAUAUUAGAAGAAAUGAAUGCUCCAUUUGUCAACAUAAUAUCACGGGAACGCAACGGCUGGAAACACUCUGCGGUCACACGUUCCAUCGACAUUGUUUGAUGGUGUGGAUGCGCACGUACGCCUUCUGCCCUGACUGUCCCCGAAGGAUGUAGCUUAUUAAACGAGAUUUGCUUUCAACUAGCUCCGUAACGAACGCGCCAUUAAGCUGGCCGGCCAACAACGAGUGAUGAAUGAUUAGCAAACAGGGUAAAAUAUGAGUGGACACGCUUCCUACUUGCUAGCCAGUAAGAUCAACAGCUUUUCGUUACAAGUGUUUAUAGUAAGUUUCUUUCUUCCUCAUCCUAUACUCAAUGUACCGAGAAGUAUUAUACUCUGCCUAUCAUUACUUUUCUGCUUAUUUUUAAAGUAACAAUAAACAUAUUGCUAUGACUAA